CAGUCGCCGCGGGAAUACGGAGGGUGCAAGCGUUAAUCGGAAUUACUGGGCGUAAAGCGUGCGUAGGUGGUGGUUUAAGUCCGUUGUGAAAGCCCUGGGCUCAACCUGGGAAUUGCAGUGGAUACUGGGUCACUAGAGUGUGGUAGAGGAUAGUGGAAUUUCCGGUGUAGCAGUGAAAUGCGUAGAGAUCGGAAGGAACAUCUGUGGCGAAGGCGACUAUCUGGGCCAACACUGACACUGAGGCACGAAAGCGUGGGGAGCAAACAGGAUUAGAUACCCCAGUAGUCCCUGUCUCUUAUAC
rnacentral:rRNA from 1 species